rnacentral:rRNA from 1 species
GGAUGAGUGGCGAACGGGUGAGUAACACGUGGGGAAUCUGCCUAGGAGUGGGGGAUAACAUUCGGAAACGGAUGCUAAUACCGCAUAUCUUCUUAGACCGCAUGGUCUAUGAAUGAAAGACGGCUUUGCUGUCGCUCUUAGAUGAUCCCGCGGCGUAUUAGUUAGUUGGUGGGGUAAAGGCCUACCAAGACAAUGAUACGUAGCCGACCUGAGAGGGUGAUCGGCCACACUGGGACUGAGACACGGCCCAGACUCCUACGGGAGGCAGCAGUAGGGAAUCUUCCACAAUGGGCGAAAGCCUGAUGGAGCAAUGCCGCGUGAAUGAAGGAGGUCUUCGGAUCGUAAAGUUCUGUUAUUAGAGAAGAACAAGUCAAGGAGUAACUGUCUUGGCUUUGACGGUACCUAACCAGAAAGUCACGGCUAACUACGUGCCAGCAGCCGCGGUAAUACGUAGGUGACGAGCGUUGUCCGGAAUUAUUGGGCGUAAAGGGAGCGCAGGCGGUUGGAAUAGUCUGAUGUGAAAGCCCACGGCUUAACCGUGGAAGGUCAUUGGAAACUGUCCAACUUGAAUACAGAAGAGGUAAGUGGAAUUCCAAGUGUAGCGGUGAAAUGCGUAGAUAUUUGGAGGAACACCAGUGGCGAAGGCGACUUACUGGUCUGUAAUUGACGCUGAGGCUCGAAAGCGUGGGUAGCAAACAGGAUUAGAUACCCUGGUAGUCCACGCCGUAAACGAUGAGUGCUAAGUGUUAGGGGGUUUCCGCCCCUUAGUGCUGGAGUUAACGCAUAAGCCACUCCG